CCCGAAUAAGAAGGUCCGGCUAACUUCGUGCCAGCAGCCGCGGUAAUACGAAGGGACCUAGCGUAGUUCGGAAUUACUGGGCUUAAAGAGUUCGUAGGUGGUUAAAAAAGUUGGUGGUGAAAUCCCAGAGCUUAACUCUGGAACUGCCAUCAAAACUUUUUAGCUAGAGUUUGAUAGAGGAAAGCAGAAUUUCUAGUGUAGAGGUGAAAUUCGUAGAUAUUAGAAAGAAUACCAAUUGCGAAGGCAGCUUUCUGGAUCAUUACUGACACUGAGGAACGAAAGCAUGGGUAGCGAAGAGGAUUAGAUACCCUCGUAGUCCAUGCCGUAAACGAUGUGUGUUAGACGUUGGAAAUUUAUUUUCAGUGUCGCAGCGAAAGCGAUAAACACACCGCCUGGGGAGUACGACCGCAAGGUUAAAACUCAAAUGAAUUGACGGGGACCCGCACAAGUAGUGGAGCAUGUGGUUUAAUUCGAAGAUACGCGCAGAACCUUACCAACACUUGACAUGUUCGUCGCGACCUUAAGAGAUUAAGGUUUUCGGUUCGGCCGGACGAAACACAGGUGCUGCAUGGCUGUCGUCAGCUCGUGUCGUGAGAUGUUGGGUUAAGUCCCGCAACGAGCGCAACCCUCACUUUUAGUUGCCAUCAUUUAGUUGGGCACUCUGAAAGAACUGCCAGUGAUAAGCUGGAGGAAGGUGGGGAUGACGUCAAGUCCUCAUGGCCCUUACGUGUUGGGCUACACACGUGCUACAAUGGCAUCUACAAUAGGAAGCAAGAUGGCGACAUUGAGCAAAUCCUAAAAAGAUGCCUCAGUUCGGAUUGCACUCUGCAACUCGAGUGCAUGAAGCUGGAAUUACUAGUAAUCGCGGAUCAGCGCGC
rnacentral:rRNA from 1 species